AUUUUCCGCUUUCUUU
rnacentral:sRNA from 1 species